rnacentral:tRNA from 2 species
AGGGGUGUAGCUCUAAUUGGCAGAGCAGCGGAUUCCAAAUCCGCGUGUUGGGAGUUCGAAUCUCUCCACCCCUGCCA